GGGGCUGUAGCUAAAUGGUAGAGCACUUGGCUAGCAUACAUGAGGCACUGGUUCAAGCCUCAGCACCA
rnacentral:tRNA from 1 species